rnacentral:lncRNA from 1 species
AAUGCAAAAAGAGGGUGGUGGUAUUAAUUUUUUGACAUGAAACUAGAGUGGCAUGGAGGAGUCCUUCCACACUUAAAACCCUUCCAAGUUGGGUAGGAGUCCAAUUAAAAUAGAUCUAAUCCAAUCAGGUCAAAGGCAAUAGAUUCAAAUUAGCUCAAAUACUUUGAACUUAAUCUAAUUAAGAACUUGGAUUAACACAAUGUGCUAACAAAUCAAAUUAAUCCUUAGAAUUUAUAUUAAAUCUUAAUUAAAUCAGAUCAAGAUUAAAUUUUAAAGUGUAUGAUCCAUUGGAUUUCAAAUCUAGCCAGCAGUGGACAUAGCUCUUGACU